rnacentral:rRNA from 1 species
CCGUCGGSUCUGAGUAUAGCAUUAUACAGCGAAACUGCGAAUGGCUCAUUAUAUAAGUUAUCGUUUAUUUGAUAGUACCUUACUACUUGGAUAACCGUGGUAAUUCUAGAGCUAAUACAUGCUGAAAAUCCCGACUUCGGAAGGGAUGUAUUUAUUAGAUUAAAAACCAAUGCCCUUCUGGGCUCUCUGGUGAUUCAUGAUAACUUCUCGAAUCGCACGGCCUCGCGCCGGCGAUGGUUCAUUCAAAUUUCUUCCCUAUCAACUUUCGAUGUUUGGGUAGUGGCCAAACAUGGUUGCAACGGGUAACGGAGGGUUAGGGCUCGACCCCGGAGAAGGAGCCUGAGAAACGGCUACUACAUCCAAGGAAGGCAGCAGGCGCGCAAAUUACCCAAUCCCGACACGGGGAGGUAGUGACAAUAAAUACUGAUACAGGGCUCUUUCGGGUCUUGUAAUUGGAAUGAGUACAAUUUAAAUCCCUUAACGAGGAACAAUUGGAGGGCAAGUCUGGUGAACGCAGCCGCGGUAAUUCCAGCUCCAAUAGCGUAUAUUAAAGUUGUUGUGGUUAAAAAGCUCGUAGUUGAACCUUGGGCCUGGCUGGCCGGUCCGCCUCACCGCGUGUACUGGUCCGGCCGGGCCUUUCCCUCUGUGGAACCCCAUGCCCUUCACUGGGCGUGGCGGGGAAACAGGACGUUUACUUUGAAAAAAUUAGAGUGCUCCAGGCAGGCCUAUGCUCGAAUACAUUAGCAUGGAAUAAUGAAAUAGGACGCGCGGUUCUAUUUUGUUGGUUUCUAGGACCGCCGUAAUGAUUAAUAGGGACAGUCGGGGGCAUCAGUAUUCAAUUGUCAGAGGUGAAAUUCUUGGAUUUAUUGAAGACUAACUACUGCGAAAGCAUUUGCCAAGGAUGUUUUCAUUAAUCAGGAACGAAAGUUAGGGGAUCGAAGACGAUCAGAUACCGUCGUAGUCUUAACCAUAAACUAUGCCGACUAGGGAUCGGACGAUGUUAUUUUUUGACUCGUUCGGCACCUUACGAGAAAUCAAAGUGCUUGGGCUCCAGGGGGAGUAUGGUCGCAAGGCUGAAACUUAAAG